GCCAGCGUGGUGUAGUGGUUUGAUUGUUAGGCUAUGAUGCUGGAGAACAGGGUUUGAAUCCCUGCUUGGCC